AAAAGAGUAAUUAUACAUACGGUUAUUAUUAUAAAAAGAUUGUGUCACAUCAUAUUGAAUAACAAUAUUAUAUUGUCAGAUAUUGCUCAUUAUUUAUAAAAUUAAAUAUAUGAUUUGAUAUUAUUGUUAAGAUUAUAAGAACCUAUAAAGUCACAAGUAUUUUUUUAAAAACAAAAUAAUACAUUAAAAAAUAAAUAAAAACUACCAAAAUAAAAUAAAAAAUUGUAUAACUUGGCACAAGUAAUUCUAAAAUGACUAUCAUA
rnacentral:lncRNA from 1 species